AUUGAACGCUGGCGGCAUGCUUUACACAUGCAAGUCGGACGGCAGCACAGUGAAGCUUGCUUCUUGGGUGGCGAGAGGCGCACGGGUGAGUAAUAUAUCGGAACGUACCGAGUUAUGGGGGAUAACUAAUCGAAAGAUUAGCUAAUACACCAUAUUCUCUGAGGAGGAAAGCAGGGGACCUUCGCGCCUUGCGUUCUUCGAGCGGCCGAUAUCUGAUUAGCUAGUUGGUGGGGUAAAGGCCUACCAAGGCGACGAUCAGUAGCGGGUCUGAGAGGAUGAUCAGCCACACUGGGACUGAGACACGGUCCAGACUCCUACGGGAGGCAGCAGUGGGGAAUUUUGGACAAUGGGCGCAAGCCUGAUCCAGCCAUGCCGCGUGUCUGAAGAAGGCCUUCGGGUUGUAAAGGACUUUUGUCAGGGAAGAAAAGGCUGUUGCUAAUAUCGACAGCUGAUGACGGUACCUGAAGAAUAAGCACCGGCUAACUACGUG
rnacentral:rRNA from 1 species